GCUGGAGACAGCUAUGUUGAGCUGCUUGCCCAAGACAAAAUAAAGACACUGAGGUAGUCAGAAUCUUGACUCUUAGGUGAGAGGCUGCAAGAUGCAGCCAGGCUUGCCUUUCUCCACAGAACUGUCUAAUAACCGCUCUGCUGAUUGGAUUUCUGACCACAAAGGUAAGCUCGGAGAGUUAAGAAAAUCAUUGCCUGAGAUAUACCUCGCCUGUACGUCACUCAGUAUUGUUACCAUUUCGAAAGGCAGAUGCAGCCAAGACUAUAGACAGUCAAGGCAGAUGGGUGGUGUGCAGUCUUACCUGGUGUGCCCACCACACCAUCAGGUACGAGAAAACUGCGAUCCAGGUGAUGGAGCCGAAGAACGUGAUAGGGAAGAACUUCUUGGAAGCCUGCGAGACAAGCAGAGUGGGGGGUGUUAGUGUUGCCCUCUGUGGCACCUUUUGGGUUGUGGUAGAGCCACAGUUUACCUCGUGGCAAGAAUACCAAUCAAGAAUUACCUUCCCCUAAUCAAACUGGGAGAGGAAAAGUUCAUUCUAGGAAAUUAAACCCGGUGGAUGCCGAAUGGUUGUAGAACUUGGAAAGACAUCUUUCUCCCUCCUCUCCCCACUUCUCUCUCUGAGACAAGGUCUUCUACCCUAGGAUAGCAAAGACAGCCCAGAAUUCACUACGUAGUUUAGGUUGGCCUCAGACCCUAAUUUCCUGACUCAGCCUUUAAAGUGCUGUGAUAUGUGCCACUGUGUUAGGCUCUGGAAGCCACUUGAGAGAAUGUCAGUUCAUGCCUGUAGCUAGAUGCCCAAUGCCUCUCCUCCUGCACUUUAUAAGACCUGGAUUCUCUGUCAUUUCUUCUGGUAAACAACUUACACCCUUCCUCUAUCUCUCCCCUCCCCCUUUUUAGUUUGCUCCCAAGUUCUCCAAUAUCAGGCCAUCAGAAUCUGCUGCUGGCAAACCAUGUGUCACGAUAAUCUACACGCCAAACCCCUUAUAUGACUGAUUAUAUGGGACAAAAAUGGGAAGGACUAGGAAGGUUGAAAAUAUCUUAACUCUUCUUCGAGUCCCAUGAGUUAUCAGGAAAGCCACCGGCCACAGACGGGUGGUGAUGGUGAGCCUCUAGGACACCACCCUCACACAUCAGUGGGAGUGGACAGAGGAGAUGCUCGGUUAGAGCAAACUCCAAGGGGGAGGGGCAGGCCAGGCACACUCUUGGGAAUGCGCUUCCUCCUGUGUGCUACUCUGCUCCAUAUUACAAGUUUCAUUCUUGUGACACUGGACUUUGUGUCAUCUUGAGCUUGUACAGUGUGAGAACACUCAGAGUUCCCUCAGAACAUCAGUCAAAAACCAGGCACUCAGAAGUAUAGUCUUGGGGUUGGGGAUUUAGCUCAGUGGUAGAGCACUUGCUUAGCAAGCACAAGGCCCUGGGUUUGGUCCCCAGCUCCGGAAAAAAAAAAGUAUAGUCUUUCAGGACCAACAAGAUAGCCUAGUGGGUGAAGGUGCCUGCUGACAAGACAGACAACCUGUGUUCUCCCCUUAGAAAGGAGAAAGGAGAGAACCAACUCCUGCCAGUUGUUUCUGAUCGCAUGGACGAAAUAACGAACAAACACACAAAUACAUAAUAAACACAAUAUUUCUUACUUAAGCCCACUCCUGGGGAGUGGUGGUUUGUGCUGAACUAGUUUCUUCUGGUUCCCUUGAUGGAAAACAUGGACCAUGCUUAGUUGGACAACGGAAGGCUGUUUGGGAGCUUACCGCCUCUUCUUGCUAAUGCUUUUGCUUUCAAAGCUUUCUACGCUGGGAAAAACCACACGUUGUGCUUUGAUAAUGUCAUCCAGUUCGGGGCAGUGGCUCCUACAUUUGAUGUAAAUUGAGGAAGCCUUAGUUGUCCAAAGAGCUGGUUCAGGGCAGCCCCAGAGAGUCCAUUCCGCCAUGGAAUUUGAAGGUUCAUUGGAAGGAAAAAAUAAACUCGUGUGUGUCAAUCUUCUAAGUCUGAGGCCCGGUGAUAGGCUUUAUGGUUCCAGACAAGGCUUGCAUUCUCUUCGUUAAUUUCCAGCUUUGAGUACGUCUGGUUUUUUAUUAUUCACAUACCCCUUAGACUUUACAAGAAUCUUUUCUCUCUUCCAAUGGCUGCUGCUUUGCAGAGGACCAUUCUCUGGGGUGACAGUAAGACCAUUUUCUUUGACGGUUGUGUCAAUGACUUCUAUGGUAUCAUCUGCCCCUGAGAUUCUCUCUUCUAUCUCUUGUACUCUGUUGGUGAUGCUUGUGUCUAUGACUCCUCAUCUCUUUCCCAGGUUUUCUAUCUCCAGGGUUAUCUCCCUUUGUGAUUUCUUUAUUGUUUCUAUUUCCAUUUUUAGAUCCUGGAUGGUUUUGUUCAAUUCCUUCACUUGUUUGGUUGUGUUCUCCUGUAUUUCUCCCCACUACCCUGCCUGAUUUCUUUAAGGGAGUUAUUAAUGUCCUUCUUAAGGUCCUCUAUCACUAUCAUGAGAUGUGAUUUUAAACCAAAUCUUGCUUUACCACAGUGUUGGGUUACCCAGGACUUGCUGUGGUGGGGAGAACUGGGUUCUAAUGAUGCCGAGAGGCCUUGUUUUCUGUUGCUUAGGUUCUUGUCCUUGCCUCUUGCCAUCUGGUUUUCUCUGGUGUUAGCUGGUUUUGCUGUCUCUGACUGGGCCUGUGAGCGUGUGGCCUUAGGAGUGAGAGCACUCCUGGGAGACCAGCUCUCUCGGGGCAGGAUUCGGGUAGAGAGGGCUGUGGGACAGCCUUAGGUCUGGGCACAGAAGGAGACUAGAAGGAUCCUGUCCCGGGCUGCUCUGUGGUUCUGAAUGUAAGACCAAAUGGACAUGCUCAAUUGGGAGAGGGCAUCAUGCCACAUUGAGCAGGCCAAAUAUCACCCUGAAAUGCUUCCCUGUGCUCCUCUUCUUUCUCAGAAGAAAAAUAUUUUGGAUAAGGACUCAGGCCUUUCUCAGAGCCCUGAGCAUUUCAGCAGGUGAUGAGGAAACACUUUUUCCCCUGCCCCCCAAAGUGGAACCUAGACCUUCUAUUCCCAAAGCGGAUUUCUAAAAGGCUGGGAACUGGAAGUGUCCUGAGAAGACACUAAGCUUGCCCAGUCUUUUCCUUCUGGUUGCUGGUUGUUGUUUCAGGAUGCAGGUCUCAGUCUUCCAGGGUCAUGCUCUGUCAUAGGCAGAGACAGGCAAUGACUGCCAUAUAAGGCUACCUCUGACUCCAGUAGCAACUACAUCAGGAUUCUGCACGUGUCAUGAGAAGCUCAGAGAGCUGUGAGCUACUUUAUGCUGAGACGUCCAUACCUCGUGCCCUGGAGCAUCUUCACGGGGCUGUUCUAUUUCCAGCUUUGUGUAUUUACUGAAUGUAUACUUUUCUUUAGGUCUUGUUUAGUACAUUUUAAAAUGUCCCAUUUGCACAUCUGUUCAUUGGGGUGAUGUCAUCAGUCAGGAUCAAAAUACUAAGAUCCCCUUACAACGCCGAGCUGUGGCACAUUCUGAGCCAAAUGGACAAAGCCAGGGGUGAGACUAGGGAUGUGAAGGAACCAAAUGGAAACCAAUUCAUAAGUGGAAACCUGCCCGAUUCAAUAUUUGAUACUUAAGGUUCUUAAUCAGGUUACCAAUUAAUAAUCAAUAGGCAUAAAAUGCGCCAAGUGUAGAAUUAGAGGCUUAUUAAAAAAGCAAAUAUUCUUAGGUGAAUUUCAGGGUCUUCAUCAUUUACUAGGAGCAGGUAGAUUGGGUACCCACUUUGUACACCGCUCUUCAACUAGAGAGGAAAUUCAGCAACUACACAGCACGUCUGCCUAACACUUCCUGAAGAAAACAGGGCCAAAAACAGCUCAAAAUACACACAGCCUCAGGCAGUACAAACAUCAUCAUCAUCACCACCACCACCACCACCAUCAUCAUGAUGCCAGGAUCUAUCCCCAACGUCAGAAAAUUAAAAAAAGAAAAACCAUCCAGGAAACAGGGGCCAGUGCUCCAGCUGUUUGGCCAUCUGCCUCCCCAGCCUCCCAUAUUGUUCUUGCUUCAGAAGCUGCAACCCUUCAUGCACCAGCAGUUUGGCUAAUUGUUUCUCUGUCAAACUGCCUUGCCAUGCCCAGUCUCACAGCCCAGGAAAUCACUUCUCUCAUUUUGGUCUGGACCGUUCUCCUCAUUUGGACUCCAUGGUUUCAUUCUGAAUACCACUGCCCUGGAGCAUCUGCACAGGUAUUAGGUUACCAGUCCCAUUGGAAAAGAGAAAAUAGCCCCCCCCCCAAAGAAAACCAAGGUCUCACACAUUAGGUUAUAGUCGGCAAUGGUGGCUCAUUUUGACAUCUGUUAGGAUAGGUUUCAUACCAAUUAGCGAAUGAGCAAAUUGUGUCCAUGUGCUGUCCAUUUUGUUUCCGAUGUAAUGGUUAGGUACCUAAUUGACAGCUAAUGUUCCCAUUAGACGCUUUUAGUAGAGCAGUGUGAUAUUGGUUUGAAAAAUGUCACUGGACAAUAGUUGGCUGAGCAAACUGGCCAUGUCCUUGCUGUCCUAAAUUUAAUUGUCACCGAGUAUCUACUUUGUGCAAUUUCCUGAAGAAUAGACUUUGGGUGGAAGAAGGGAUGGGGGUGUUGCUAUGUAGCCCAGGGUAUUUUCAAAUUUAUAAUUGUCUCGCUUUGGUAUUCUGAGUAGUGGUGGUCACAGGAACUUAUCAAUAAGCCUGGAGUGAAGCAUACAUUUUUUUUUACAUUCAUGUAUUUAUUUAUCUAUUCAUUCAUUCAUUCAUUCAUUCAUUCAUUCAUUCAUUCAGUGUGUGUGUGUGUGUGUGUGUGUGUGUGUGUGUGUGUGUGUGUGUGUGUGUGUGUGAAGGUAUGGAACAACUUGUGGGAGUCUGUUAUCUCUUCCUACCAUGUGAGUCCUGGAAAUCAAGUUUAGGCCAAAAGGCAUGGUAGUGAUUCCCUUCACCUGCCGAGCCAUCUUGCUGGUUCUGGAGGUAUACAUUUAAGAAGUUUCCCCCAAAAUCCUACUAAGAUGAAGUUCAUGACCACUGGGUUAAGAUAAUGGAGGUUGAAAUCUCGGUUUCCAAGUGAGCAGUGAUUUUUCACUUAGAAACAACUGUCUAGCUCUUUAAGUUUUGGUUUCUUAGUUUGUAAAAUGGAGGGGAAAGGCGGUGCAAAUCUAAAUGUUCUGAAGAUUCAUGUGCACUGAAAGUCUAGCAAAGCACACGAGGACAUAGCACACGAGAAGUGCCCAGAUAAUAACUACAGUUGUGUCUGUACACUAUUGUCUUUAUUGGAGUUUUUAAGAAACGAGGAGGCUGACCCCUGGGUAGGUAAAGUGACUGUGGACGCAUUAGGUAUGAUGGAGUCUUGACUUUCCUCUUAGUAGCUGACUGUGAUUGAACAAACCACAACCCUCCCUGGGUCUCAAUCACUUGCUACAUUCUUGCUACACCGUGUUUGGCUCCUGCUAGAAAACCAAUAGAAACUUGGUGAAUGAACAGACGACUGAGUCUGCAGAUCUCUAGCUGGGUGCUCAGUCUCCUUCCCGGCUCCAGUGGAUCAUGCUUUCCUAUCUUAAGAGCUGUGCCCCUCCUCUGUAUGAACAUCCAUCUCAGGCCAUGGAGAAAACAGCAUUGGCUGUUUUAUUGUUUAUUGUUUUCAGUUUCCUUCACAGAUGUGUUUCUCAUCAAGGAUUAAACUUUAGCCUUUUCCCUUUUCAAACAAAGGUGUUGGUAUAAGGAAACUAACUGUGAGGCUACUACUUAGUGUCUCCGCUGAAAGUAUGUACAGAUAGGCAUGGAAUUUGCAUAGAAAUGAUGUGGGACUAAAAACAAGUGGGAGUAAUAUUUAUUCUGAAAUUAGAGCUAAUUAUUGGUAAGCCUUGGGAUGGUCAUCUCCAUGAGGAAUUAAAAAAAAAAAAACUACUGAAGAAACAGAGAUGGUGGGCCCUAAAAAGGAGAAAAUGUUUGUUAAUGUUCUCAUUCUUUUCCUUUUCCCUUGAUAUUACCUCCUGUGGCCUUUGUGGACAUAGAUAAGGUCUAUGGAAGGACUAAAACAAAGACCCCCCCUCCCCUGCUGCCAGUACACUACUCUGUGUGGUGGUUUGUAUAUGGUUGGCCCAGAGAGUGGCACCAUUAGGAGGUGGGACCUUGUUGGAGUAGGUAUGGCCUUGUUGGAGUAGGUAUGGCCUCGUUGGAGUAGGUAUGGCCUUGUUGGAGUAGGUAUGGCCUUGUUGGAGUAGGUAUGGCCUCGUUGGAGUAGGUAUGGCCUUGUUGGAGUAGGUAUGGCCUUGUUGUAGGGGUGGGCUUUGAGGCCCUUCUCCCAGCUGCCUGGAAGACUGUCUCCUGACUACUUUGGAUAUGGAUAUAGAACUCUUAGCUUUUCCAGUGCCAUGUCUGCCUGCCUGCUGCCAUGCUUCCCGCCAUGAUGAUAAUGGACUCAACCUCUGAAAGUGUAAACCAACCACAACCAAAUGUCCUUUAUAAGAGUUGCCUUGGCCAUGGUGUCUCUUCACAGAAGUGGAAACUGAAACUAAGACACUGCCUUUUCGAUCAAUAGGUGACCAUUUCUCUGAGGUUUGGGCUGGAUUAACAUUGGCUUCAAUCAACAGAAUGUGCUAGCAAUGAUGGAGUCGAAUUCCAAAUUACAUCUCAGGAGGGGCUUUGGAGUUUUCAUUCUUAUAGCUCUUGGUCCUUUUUUUUUUUAAUCCUGUGAUUAAGUCCAACCUAGAAUACUUAAAAAUUAGAGAUUUUGUUGAACAGAAGCUGUUUUUCCUGAGAGGUAACCUGCUCCCAGGAGAACUGUCUAGCUGAGCCUAGAGGAAAUUCACUAGUUUUAAGCUGAGUUUGAGAUGGUGUGUUACAGACCAAAAGAGAAAAUUGGCAUAAGAAACAAUCUAAUAAAAGUCCCCUGUAGUAAAUAUGACCAGGAAACAUCUUAAUGGCUCAUAUAUCUGUGGGCGAGGUUUUUUUUUUAUUUGGCCUCCUGUAUAUGCAGGGAGGUCUACAUAGUUUGUUUCCCAACCAAUAUACUCUCAGAGUAAGCUGAGACUUGUGACUAUCGCGGGCAAGCUGGGGGAUAGAGCCCCCUUCAAUCUCCAAUAUUGUAUCGAGGCUGAUCUCCUUAUUUUUUGCUUUUUUCUGUUAUAGAAUGCCAAGGCUGGUAGGGAAUCUAGAGAUCUUAGGAACCUUUGUUAAUAGUUGACGAAAAUGGGGUCCAGAGAAACGUGUUUCCCAAGGUUGCUCCUAUAAGGUAGGAGAGGAGGAUCAAAUUACUAGAGUCAGGGCAGUGCAGUGAGCAUGACCUGGAGUGGGAGUCUGAGGCUCUAGUCUCCUUUUACUGUUGCUAUGAAAUACUGCUUUGACUUAUAUGUGUUUUUUACUUGUGGUCAUUAUUGCUAUGAUGAGACACUCUGACUAAAAGUAACUUGAGGAGCAAGGGUUUCUUUGGCUUAUAAUUCCACAUUACUGUUGAUUAUUAAAGGAAGUCAGGACAAAAACUCGAACAGGGCAGGAGCAUGAAGGCGGGAGCUCACACAAAGGCAAUAGAGCCAUACUGCUCACUGGCUUACUUGCCUGGGCUUGCUCAGCCUGCUUUUUCAUAGAACUCAGGAUCACUAGCCCAGGGAUGGCAGCACCAAGAUGGACUGGGCCCUUCUACAUCGAUCACUAAUUAAGAAAAAUGCCCUACAAGUUUUCCUAUAGCUCCAUUUAUGAAAGCAUUUCUCACCGAGGUUCCUUUCUCUCAGACAGCUUUAGCUUGUAUCAAGUUGACAUAAAACUGUCUGGCACAGUGAGCAUACCUUGGUUUAGUUAUUAAACUGUGAAUUUUGUGUUAUUAUACUCUUUAAGGGCAUAUGUGGUCCUUAGUGCGGAAUAUUUGCUGAGGAAAUCUGAACAUAACCUUGUGUUCCCUUGGUAGUCUCAUUUCUGCUUAGAAUAGCAUACAGAACCCAGAAAAGACAGACACUAGUCCAUUUCAUAUUGUGGCUGGUGCUUGGGGAAGCAAGGAGGGUAAUGGCUAAUCUCCAUUGUCUUGACAGGAUUUGGAAUCACAUAGAAGAGAUACCCCUGGGCUUGUCUUUGAGGGCACGUUCAAGGAGGAGUAACUGAGGAAAGGAAGCUCAUCCUGAGUGUGGGUGACAACAUCCUACGGGGACCCAACUGGGUCAACAGAAGGAAAUCAGUGGGCACUAGUCUUCACCUCUCUCUGCUCCAGACUACUUCAAUCUUCUGGUGUCAAGAAAUCUGAGGGGAGGCCAUGUGGUCGCAGAGACCUGGGUAUGCCUCUCAGUUCCCUCCUCUGGAAAGCGGCCAGGUAUGAUUUGGUUGACUUGUUUUAUGCCCCUUUUUUUAUACAAAGCGAAGGGACUCUGGCCAGGUUGAACAUGGUGAGCACGGCUCUGGCAGGCCUUGCCCUUCUCUCCCAUUCCUUCUGCAUUAUGAAAAACCAAUAGAGUAUAUUCCUGAAGCUGGCCCACAAGGUCUAUUCCUUAAUCUGUCUAAUUCCUCCUCCUGAGGCUGACUACCAAAGUCCAGCUGUCAAAAUACUGAAGUCCAGCAAUCAAAAGCCUCCUAAUUAACAAGCCUAAUUAAAACUAAACACUUCAUCCUAACGGGGUUUCCUGUUGUAACUUUAUAAACUGCCAUUUUCCUAUGGGCAAGUCUGUCUCCUCUCUAGCCAGAGGUAGUCCUUUGCCUGUUCCCCUCAGGAUAAAUAUUUUUAUAACUUCUCCCUUGUUCCCUUCCCUUUCUUCCUCUUUCUCUAUUUCCUGUCCUUGUCUCUUUGUGCUUCUGGGCAAAUAAAUCUCUUUUGUCCUGGCUGAGAACUUGGUCUUGGGGGUCCUGAGCUGAUAUUUUUUCACCAAUAAUACAUGUAUAUCCUAUUAUAGACGUUUCCAGAGACCUCACGAUGUGGUUCAUUGAGAAUUGAAUUGGUGCAGAAUCUGAUGCAUGAUAGGUACAUGCUUCAGUCAUGUGUGUGUUGGUGCCUGUGCCCUAAUACUGUCAUUACCAUUUUCACCUCCAGGGCAAACGUUAACAGUUCAAGAUCCGAGUUUCCCAACCCUGGGAGGGAAUGUUCCUCUGGUUAGUCGGCACUUGGAUUGCAUUUCGCUGUGUCUGUCGGAUGGUAAAGGCAUUCACAGCCCUUGACAUCUGACAUUCUUAAAUAAUAAUAUUGGUUAUAGUGAUGGCAAUAGAAUUGUAGAAGGGAUAUCAUGUAUGUAGGCAUGUGCAAUUCUUUAAAUUAUUUUUUUAAAUCAAUAUAUAGCCAAAAGAAAAUUCAAUGAAAUACUGAGUUGCUUUCCUGCUAGAACCUUGAGCUGUACCCCUUAUGAGAAAAUGGCUACGAGGUUUCAGGGUUUUUCUUUAUUUUGAAAUUUUCCUCAUUAAGAGAUUCAUGUGGCAUGUGACAUUGGCAUAUAUUCCUUGUCAACUAUCUUUUAUGAUUUAUUUCUUUGAAAAUUGUGUAUACAUGCAUGUAUCUAUAUCUGGGUUUGUACACACUUGUCUGCAGGUUCCCUCAGAAUCCAGGAGCUGGCAUCUAGAGAACUGGAGUUACAAGUGGCUGUGAGCCACUAUUGUGGUUUCUGAAAGCUGAACUCAGGUCCUCUGCAAGAGCAGCGUGCGCUCUUAAUCACUGAGCCAUUUUUCUUGCCUCUAGGCAAAUGCUUUCACCCUUCUCUCCAUUUGUAAAAUGAUAGGCUCUCUUUACAUAUCCCUGGCUGUCCCAGAACUCACUAUGUAGAUCAGGCUGGCCUUGAACUCACAGAGAUCUGCCUGGGGUAGAGAUGAACCAUCCCCAGUGUACCCCACUUCAAUUCCCACCCUACAGGAUCCAUGAGCAGAGUAAAAUGGUGUUUUUCACACUUCUAGUUUCUGGGGGUGGUUCACGUUUUUUUAGUCACUGAACAAUUGCUGUGAUUGAAGUUGCAGGCAUGUCUGAGAACACUGUGCCACCUCGCCUUUCUCUUUAAAUACACCUGGAAAGGGACGGUGGUGGCUACCAUACUUUUUACAAGGGAGCAGUUUCCACAGGGGUUCACUCACAGGUUUGCGGACGUCGGGUAAGGUGAUCCAGAGAGGGAACACGAUGGGAAGAACGAUUAGGAAGGUGAUCUGCUUGCGGGUGUUGGACGGCCAGGACAGGCUGAGGGGCUGGUCAUCAUCUUCCUCGGCGGUCUCUGUGGCCUGCUGUAGAACAAGAGGACAGAUAUAAACAGGCAGUGACCAGGGGAGUCACGGGGCCACAAACCCCAAGAGCAAUCUAGGCUUGUCUUGAGUUCCACUGAGGCUUUUCUCAAGCCACCCCAGCUGCCUUCCCAGGCUUUCUUUUUGUAAGAGCUCCCCACCUAUCACAGCCCGAGGCUCAGGAAUGAGCAGUGCUUCGCCCCUCCAGAGCACUCUACAAGUUUCUUUUCAUGCCUUGGGGGUAUUUUAUGGCCUCUCAUGCUUAUCAACUGAUUUUUUAACACCAACCAUAAUUAUUCCUCAAUAUUGUUUGAUCCACUGUGUCUCUUAUUCAGCUGUAAAAAACAAUGGGCUUCUUUUUGCAUAUAAUGUGCUUUGAUAUGAUUCACUUCAUCCUCUCAAAAACCUCCCUUCAUGACCAUUUUAUGGUUAACAACAUCUGUUGAUCAAUUGACCUGUGACCCCAUCUCCUUUUCCCUAGGGCUGUGAUUCAGACACCUUGGGAGGAAGAACACAGGUUUAAAAAGUUUAAAAAAUUAAAAUCCUUUCCUCCCCCUCCUCCUCUCUUUGCUUCCAACUGAUUCUCACCAGGCACAGAAAACUCACUUCAGAAACAGCUGAGUGACGAUCCUGAGAGGUCCUAGCUGCAUCUCACCCACCCAAGAAUAAGCUUAGCACGUCUGCACGGGUGUUCCUAACUUGCUUAAUCGAUGGGGUGAAUUCUAAACCAUUUCAUUCGUCAUUGAAGGCACAGUAUACAAACACGUGCCUUAGGACUCAGAGAAACAGGGCUAACGUGUGCCACGGGACCGACUCUGCCUGCCAUCUCAGAGGCAGGGCACAAACACUCAGUCUCUGAUGUGGUAGUCCUGCUCCCCGUGUUUUGGUGUCUUCUAUUGCACUCCGCAGCUCUCAGGCCCCAGGGGCAGAGGAGACAAAAGGUGGGUUUGCCCAGCAGGGUGACCAUUGGUCUCAGAGAUGGGACCACCGUGUCAGUACCACAGCACUGCUGACCACCCAUCGCUGCCCACUCUGCUUGUUUAGAAACGAAACUGCAGCACCAGAUCAGAAACGAUCAAUAAGUGCUCCUGUAGUGAGGUUUCCUUUAGGUAGCACAGAGAAUGGCUUCAGGCUUUUGCACAUGUAAGUACCAGGGCUGACUUCUUCAGUGUCUGUGUUCCUGAGGAGGGGCAGGUAGAAAAGGUUUGGGCCAGAUGGCUUAAGGAACAAAGGAUUUAGCUAGAGGUCAUUGCUAGGUCUGUGCAGAUCCACGGCAAUACUACUGUUUAUUUGCUGGUACACAUUAGGGGUGGACAAAUGGUCUUAAGAAAAAAAAAUCAAGAGAUUGGAAGCCAUACUGGAAAAGACUGGAAACAACAGGUUCGUGGCAGUGGGUAAGUAUCCACAGAGUACAAACAGGAAAGGGUUGUGGGGAUUAGGUAAACAGGUUGACACUGUAUUCUGGUCACCCAGACCUUCAUCAAACACAUACCGCACGCAACCCACUCCAACCCAUUUGUUGAUGUGAUGCAGAAGCCACCUUAUCCACCACAGUCUCUACUCUUUCCAGGGAGCUCUGUCCCUGAUCUUAGCCACCCCAUCGUCCUUGGAGGAGAGGUGACCCACAGACAACCAACCUCUAUGGGCUUACAUACCUACGGUGCCACCUCGGAACAAGAACGAUUAUCUCUGUGUCACGGGGCAGUGAAGACUAAGAAGGCUUGGGGCCUGUUAAGUUUUCUCCAAUGAGGCCUUCUUCACAAAACCAAAUGAACUAUUUCCCCUUCCACAACCGGGUAGUGGGCACUUAGAAGUAGGCACGGAGAGCUGAGGUGCUAUUCCAGCCUUCAUGAGCACCUCAUCUCAUACCACGUACAGGGUUUAACCCAGCCGAGGAUUGGCUUCCCUGAAGACGAAUCAGCUCAUCCGAUGAACUCACCAAGCUCUUUCUUCCUGGGUGACCUCCCCUCCUGUCUCCGUCCCCACCUCCAUCCACAAGUUAACAACUUCUCUCUAAACUCCAAGCUAUACUUUUUUUUUUGGAGAAAAGAAAAGCCAAAACCCAAAAGCAACGCUUUAUGACUCAUAUCAUUUUAAUGACACCAACAGAUGGUGACAUUUCAUCAAUAACCUUCUGCUUGUAACCUGCGGAUUAGCUCUUUUCUCCAUCUGCCAAAGUCACCAGGCAGGCAGCACCACAAGCAAACAGCAGAAAAUAAUUGUCUGUUUGGAUGUUUAAGCUCUCAACGCACUAGUGUCCAGUGCAAGCAGUUAGCUGUGUUGCGUGGGGUCCGAGGGUGGCACUUAAGGAGGCUGUUGCUAGGGCAGGAGCAGAGGAGAAGAGUCUAUGCCUACCGGAAUCUCUCCUCUUCAGGGGGUGUGGGGUGGGGGGCAAUUCCUACUGCAGGGACGUGAAGGAACCUAGAACCCUGGGAUGGAUGGGAGAGGGGCCUCAGGAGCAAGCUGUCAGAACACUUCAGAAGAAGUUCUUUUUGUCUUCUUGCCAGGGAAAUCUCACUCCGGCUCAAUGGGCAACAGCUUGCAAGCUGGUUAGAGACACAGCAGAAGAACACACUGUUCCAAGUUCAGGGCCUAUUUUGUCUCUGCCUGAGCAGGAGACGCAAUGCAAGAAUUAGGCUGGGCUCCAAUCAAGAGGCCACUGAGGACAGGGGAAGGAGUUUCAGCUUUUACUAGUGUUGUGGCUUGCUGGCUCUGACCUUGUGAUGACCCACGCUUGCCUCUUAAAUUGUCUGAAGCAAGCCCCCAGAAAACAUGGCAAGGAGAGCAGGCUGUGCCAGAAAGAAUCCGAGUGAUUUUUGAUGUAAAGGCGUAACAUGGUUUGCUCUCUGCUGGGGUCCUGUGCAAGCCCAAUGGUUACACAAAACUAGGCUCUUUAGGACCUUGGCAUUUCUGCUAUAAAAGGACCUUAGGGAAAAAUACAUUACUCAGGGCGGGCGUGGGAAGUUUAUACCUAUAAUCCUACUACUCCCAAAAGCUGAGACAGGAGGAUUCCAGUCUUCAAGGCCAGUCUGGGCUAUAUGAUGAGUAGCAGGUUUGCUAGAAUGUAUAGAGAAAUGCUUUACACACACACACACACACACACACACACACACACACACAGACACACACACACAGACACACACACAUACACAGACACACACGCAUGCACACACACAUACACACAGACACACAUGCAUGCACACACACACACACACACACACACACACACACACACACACACACACACACGCAUGCACACAACUUUAACUAGUUUCCCAAGUGAUGGAUGGUGCAUUGGCCCUCAGACCUAGCAGGAUGGGGAGAGCAGGCAACAGAGUUGGAACUUGCAAACUCCAGUUUUCAGAUUUCUCAAGCGGCUUCUCCUUUUAUGUAUAAAGCCAAUUAUGAAAAUCUAAGGCUCCUGCUUCUUGUAUUUAAAAGGAGAGGCAAAACAGAAGAUCUCAAGGCACGUACUGUUGGUUACUUGCAGGACCUGUGCCAUCCAUUUAGCAUGUCUGCAUGUCCGCUGUAGGGAGUCACCAGUCCAGAGGUUACCUCUGAAGCCUGAACACUGUUUCUUGGAAGCAACCCAGUAUCUCGUUUUCGACAUCAGGUUCUAGAGAGAUGGUAACCCACUCUAGGGCAGCCUCUUCUUUGAACAAAUUAAGUUGAAAGCAAAGCAAAACAACCCUAGAAGGACCUGUAACUAAGCUGCUUUUAGAUAUUUUAGUCUUGCAGGUUGCUGGCAAGGUCUCCCCCCAGCUCCCAGGAAGUGGCCUCAGGGUUGCCAGGGUUGGCCUCCAACUCAGCUUAGCUGGGAUUUAUUCGCUUCAAGUUGUAAGUGAAGAUCUUACUCCCUUGUCCUGACUCACUUCAGACCUUAGAGGUGCUGCCUUUCCCCACUGGCAGCACCUCAGUGUGGUGCGACAUUGGGUAGGAAUAUGAUGGCAGCCCCUCCAUGUCUGCAAUGCUCAGGGGACGACGUGGGUUCCCCUGCAGACACUGGUGUGCCUCACUGUCAGUAGGUCUUUAAACCAUGCCAUCUUUUUUUUUUCUUUUUUGGGUCUCUGCUGAGGGGCUACCUCCCUGAGGAGCUGUCACUCAAGCUUGCUGUGGGUGCUCAUAGAUCAUAAAAACCACCUACAGUUGCUGAGCUCCGGGGUCUUUAGGCACAGGAGCUUUAGGUGAGAGAGAAGCAUCGCCACAGCUUCCGAGUUGGAAGCGUCCCCCAUCCGAGACCAUCUGUCUUGGUUGAUGGAUGAGGGCCCUGAGAUGAAGUUGAAAGAAGGUCCCAAUUCCAGGCCAGGCUUCAGUGACCUCUUUCUCCUCCAUUCAACAGUGCCCACUUUCUCGAUGCCACAGAGCAGGCAUUUGUGACCUGUGGCAUCAGGCCUCCUUGCUUUGCUCUGUAAUAAAUUCAACCUGAUGUGGGUAUGAACCUGGGGCUCAUGGAUUCAGCUAGGCUGGCUGGUUAACGGUUUCUAGCGAUCUGCCUGUCUUCCCCCCAGUGCUGGAGUUACAGAUGUUACCACUGCAUCUGGAGUUUACUUGGAUAGCAUGGAUCUGCAUGUGUGGCGGGAACUUUAGGACUGAGCCAUCUCUCCAGCCCCUGAACCUGGCUUAAAAAAAUAUAGUGUUUCUGGACUCUGCUGGUCCUACACACACACACACACACACACACACACACACACACACACACACAAUUUAAAAGCUCAGCUGUAACAAACACUAAGCACUUGACAGACAUUUCCCCAUUUAUUAUCUUGAGCCUAAAACCAAUUUUUGAUUGUCUGGAUGGCCCAUACUUUUUUUUUUCCCUGAAAGAGUCAUCUCCCCCAAACCUCCUCAUAUUCCCUCCCUUUCCUUCGUGCUUUUAGCAUUCCCAAUAGCACUCAAGGGAUGGGAAGGGCAGUCCUGGGAUCAUGGGCGGGAGAAGCUGUCUCUUAGCUCCGGGUUCUAAGAUAUACAUUUAAAAAUUAUCACUUGUCAUUAUCAUCUACAACAUAAAGCCUGCAUUUAAGGCUCUAGAAAUAUCUCAAAAGAGGGGGUGGAAAGACUGUAAGAGUCAGAGGGUCAGGAAAUCUGCUGUGAGAUUGUGUCUCCUAGAAGUGACAGGGGAGAUUCAUCCACAAUACCACAGCAAUGUGACUGUCAGUAGAAGACCUGAAGGACAGCACCAACAGACAUGCUGUCAUGGAAAGGGAAUCUCACCGGGCCCCACACAUAGACAAAGUACAGUCAGCUAAGGAAAGCCGAGAGCAGAAAUAGUCUUCCCCAAGGAUGAGCCCCCCUAAUGGGUUAUCCAAUACCAUCCCUGAAAUCACAUACACACAAGUGGACCCCAAAAGUUGUAUUUAUAUAUUUAUGCGCAUGCACACACACACACACAUACACACACAGAUGCACACACACACACACACACUUAACAAUAACAGAGGAAAAGAGAUCAUGAACUUGUGGGGAGCAUGCAAAAUGUCAGAGAAAGGGGUUGGGGAUUUGGCUCAGUGGCAGAGCGCUUGCCUAGGAAGCGCAAGGCCCUGGGUUCGGUCCCCAGCUCCGAAAAAAAGAACCAAAAAAAAAAAAAUGUCAGAGAAAGGAAAAGGGAAGGGAGAAAUUGUGUAAUUUAAUUUUAAAAAUUUGAAAAAACCAAAAAUGCAGGAGCUAUAGACACCAGUGAAUACAAGGCUCUCAAACACAGACAAGAAGACAGGCUUUCUCCCUGGUUUCGGGGAAGGUGGCAGCUAAGCCCAACAAUGAGAUUUUAUGUGGGUUUCAGUGUUUGAUGCCACCCCAGACUCCCAUAACUGUGGACAAUUCAUUUUGGCCACCUUUAAAGUAGAUAUCUAUGGGGCAUUGUAGCAAAUGAAUGAGACUCUUUACGAUAAUAAACCUUCCUAGGACUAAUGUCAGCAAGGGCUGAGAUGUGAGCUGGGUCAGUUUUGGACUCUGUUAUUCAGUGUUUGAAGGUCAUGAUGCACCCCCCUCGCCCUCCUGGGAAGACAGUGCACAAGGAAACAGCUCUGUCUUUAUUCUGGGAUCACCUUUCUCUUUCUUUAUGCCCGAAGCAUUAAAAAAGAAGCUCUUUGGUAAUACGCAUCAUCUCUCAAAGUAGGUCUCCAUUGGGACUGGUGCAAGGUGUGUGGGCCUGGGCAGUGAGCCUGUAAGAUGCUCCCAGAGGACAUCCUGAUGGUGCCUUGUCUAACGACAAGACAGCUGUAGCAGGGCUCCACAGACACAUAGCCACUCCUCAUGUGCUUCCUAUGAAAUAGGAAGUCAGACAGAAAGCUGUUUAAAAUAGGACUUUUGUUCUAGAAGUUUCCUUUGCAGCACUGGCCUGAAAUAAUUCAUGCAAAGUACUCAGAACAGUGCUUGGCGCGGAACAAACACCCAAAAUGUGGCUAUUAACACUCUUAAAAAUAAACAGCCAGGAAAAUAAUUUUUCCUAGGAGAGGGAUUUGGUUAUGUGAAUUAUAAUGUCAUCCAACAAUAGAGUCCUACAAUAAUUCACUUAUUUGAUAUGGAGGUAGAAACUACCUGGUUUUCCCUCCAUCUGCUCACUCACCCAGCAUUUAUUGAGCAUUUGUUGACUGCAGUGAUACCCACAAUCUAACUCUCUUCUCUUAGUUCUAAUGGAUAAGUAGAAGACUCUGUAAACGAAAAGGAAGGGGAAAUUCCACAGCCCUGAGGAGAACCACUAUGCUAUUCAGGAGGUUGCUUCGAGAUGACUUUCUACUAGAAACUGAGCUUCUAAGCAGAUGAAACAGAAUGUGGAUUGUGGACAUGACUGACCCAGUGUCCUGGCCAAUUUUAUGUCAACUUGACGCGGGUUAUAGUUAUCUGAAAGGAGGGAACCUGAACUGAGGAAAUGCCUCCGUGAGAUCUCGCUGUGAAAACCACCAACUGAAGAUUAUACGUGGAGGAAUCUAUGGCUCCAGCUGCAUAUGUAGCAGAGGAUGGCAUUGUGUGACAUCAACGGGAGGGGAAGCUCUUGGUCCUGAGGAGGUUUGGUGCUCCAGCGUAGGAGGAUGCUAGAGCGAGCGGUGAGGCAGGAGUGGGCGAGCAGAAGGAAGAGCACCCUCUUACAGACAAAAGGGGAGGGGAGGAUGGGAUGGGGGUUACAGAGGAGCAACUGGGAAGGGAGGUAUCAUACAUUUGUACACAUUUAAAAUGUGUACAAAUAAAAUGAUUAAAAAAAGAUCUGGCUGAAGGCAUUUUCUUAAUUAGUAAUCGAUGGGGGAGGGCCCAGGUUAUUGCGGGUGGUGCCCUCCAUGGGCUGGUGUUCCUGGAUUCUAUAAGAAAGCAGGCUGAGUAAGCCAGUGAGCAGCCCUCCUCCAUGCUAUGCAUCAGCUCCUGCCUCCAGGUUCCUGACCUGAGGGGAAUUCUGCCCUCACUGAUUCUGAUGUGAAACUAUUCCAUGGGACUGAGAGUGAAAUAAUCCCCAAGUUGGCCACGGUGUUUCAUCACAGCAAGAGUAACCUAAAACUAAUAGUAACCCUAAACUAAGACAGCCACAUGACUACUGGCUUAUGGAUCUCUUCAGUGUCACAGACUCAAAAUCUGAAAGUCACCAUGGAAUCUGAAGUUUUAGGAUUUCAAAAUUAGUUUGUGGACUUGUCAAUUUGAAUUUUGAAUUGUGUUCAAAGCAGUCUCAGAGUCCUGGGAUGGUCUCUGAAAGGCUCUGCCCCCUAAGCUACACAUUUCCAUUCGCUUUUCCUCUGUUAAAACAGAAAAGUCUUGAAGAAGAAUUUUUUUUUUAAGAGCAGGUGAUGGAAAGCUAGAAAGCCAUAUAGGGACACUCCAGUCCGGCUGGAGAGAUGGCCCAGCGGUUAAGAGCACUGUCUGCUCUUCCAGAGGUCCUGAGUUCAAAUCCCACCAACUGCAUGGUGGCUCACAACCAUCUGUAAUGGGAUCUGAUGCCCUCUUCUGCUAUGUCUGACGACAGAGACAGUGCACUGAAAUAAAUAAAUAUUUAAAAAGAACUUUAAAACUUCAGUCAUUGGAAGGGAAGUAUCCUGGUUGUAAACUACUUGGAGCAUGUUAAGACCGCCCCUCCCCAGGGAACUGUGUUUGGAGAUUGAGAACUUGGAGGAAGUAAUCAAGGUUUAAUGAGGUUGUGAGGCUGGGGCCCUGAUCUGAAAUGAUUAGUUACCUUAUAAAAAGGCAUCCUGGAGUGCUUGUUCCCUGGAGUGUCCCCUACCCCUAGCUCUCCCUUUUCUGCAUUUCCCAGUCCCUGUAUGCCCUGAGGAAAGAUCAUGUAAGCUAGAAAGAGAAGCCAGAAAGAGAGCCUUGACUAGAGAGGUCCUUAAAUCCUCAGAACUGUGAGAAAAUGAGUCUGUGCUGUGUAAGUCUCCCCCCAUCCACGGUGUUUUUGAGGUUUGUCUAGUAGUCUACUAUGCUAACUGUAUGGGUAUUGGUUCUUCUCCAGCAGUCCAUGGCUGAGGAGAUGCUCUGGCUUGGAAAGAAAGUGCAUUUACUUAAUGUAACCUGCUUAUCACCCGUCCUUUAAAAACGCACUUCUGAGUCUUAGAGUAACCUACCUCUGUGUUCAGAGAGUCUCGCUGAUCUCUCAUAUUUUCGACCAACAUCCCUUAUUCUCUUUAAUAUGUCCUUAGUCUCUAAGUCCCUGCCCAUCGUCUCUUAUACACAAAGUAAGUUUAAAAGACCCUGAGUCUAACACCCUCCCUUUGUAGAAAGGAUGCACCAUCUGAGACAUUGCCUUGCCUUCUGUGUGAACCUCCUGAACUGACAGUAGUAAUCUUUAACUAGAAAACAGAUUUUCUUAAAACACACA